CAGUCGCCGCGGUAAUACGUAGGUGGCAAGCGUUGUCCGGAAUUAUUGGGCGUAAAGGGCUCGCAGGCGGUUUCUUAAGUCUGAUGUGAAAGCCCCCGGCUCAACCGGGGAGGGUCAUUGGAAACUGGGAAACUUGAGUGCAGAAGAGGAGAGUGGAAUUCCAUGUGUAGCGGUGAAAUGCGUAGAGAUGUGGAGGAACACCAGUGGCGAAGGCGACUCUCUGGUCUGUAACUGACGCUGAGGAGCGAAAGCGUGGGGAGCGGACAGGAUUAGAUACCCCAGUAGUCCCUGUCUCUUAUAC
rnacentral:rRNA from 1 species